CCUACGGGAGACAGCAGUGAGGAAUAUUGGUCAAUGGACGCAAGUCUGAACCAGCCAUGCCGCGUGCAGGAAGACUGCUCUAUGAGUUGUAAACUUCUUUUGUACGGGGGUAAACGCAGGUACGCGUAUCUGUCUGAAAGUAUCGUACGAAUAAGGAUCGGCUAACUCCGUGCCAGCAGCCGCGGUAAUACGGAGGAUUCGAGCGUUAUCCGGAUUUAUUGGGUUUAAAGGGUGCGUAGACGGUCGGAUAAGUGAGAGGUGAAAUCUCGAGGCUCAACUUCGGAAUUGCAUGUGAUACUGGUCGGCUAGAGUGUAGUUGCGGUAGGCGGAAUUCAUGGUGUAGCGGUGAAAUGCUUAGAGAUCAGAAAGAACACCGAUUGCGAAGGCAGCUUACCAAGCUACUACUGACGUUGAGGCACGAAAGCGUGGGGAGCAAACAGGAUUAGAUACCCGAGUAGUC
rnacentral:rRNA from 1 species